CUGGGCGUAAAGCGCACGCAGGCGGUCUGUCAAGUCGGAUGUGAAAUCCCCGGGCUCAACCUGGGAACUGCAUUCGAAACUGGCAGGCUUGAGUCUUGUAGAGGGGGGUAGAAUUCCAGGUGUAGCGGUGAAAUGCGUAGAGAUCUGGAGGAAUACCGGUGGCGAAGGCGGCCCCCUGGACAAAGACUGACGCUCAGGUGCGAAAGCGUGGGGAGCAAACAGGAUUAGAUACCCUGGUAGUCCACGCCGUAAACGAUGUCUACUUGGAGGUUGUGCCCUUGAGGCGUGGCUUCCGGAGCUAACGCGUUAAGUAGACCGCCUGGGGAGUACGGCCGCAAGGUUAAAACUCAAAUGAAUUGACGGGGGCCCGCACAAGCGGUGGAGCAUGUGGUUUAAUUCGAUGCAACGCG
rnacentral:rRNA from 2 species